UACGUAGGGUGCGAGCGUUAAUCGGAAUUACUGGGCGUAAAGCGUGCGCAGGCGGUUUUGUAAGUCAGAUGUGAAAUCCCCGGGCUUAACCUGGGAACUGCGUUUGAAACUACAAGGCUAGAGUGUGUCAGAGGGGGGUAGAAUUCCACGUGUAGCAGUGAAAUGCGUAGAGAUGUGGAGGAAUACCGAUGGCGAAGGCAGCCCCCUGGGAUAACACUGACGCUCAUGCACGAAAGCGUGGGGAGCAAACAGG
rnacentral:rRNA from 1 species